AGUGAACGCUGGCGGUAGGCCUAACACAUGCAAGUCGAACGGCAGCACAGUAAUAGCUUGCUCUUACGGGUGGCGAGUGGCGGACGGGUGAGGAAUACAUCGGAAUCUACUUUUUCGUGGGGGAUAACGUAGGGAAACUUACGCUAAUACCGCAUACGACCUACGGGUGAAAGCAUGGGAUCUUCGGACCUUGCGCGAUUGAAUGAGCCGAUGUCGGAUUAGCUAGUUGGCGGGGUAAAGGCCCACCAAGGCGACGAUCCGUAGCCGGUCUGAGAGGAUGAUCAGCCACACUAGAACUGAGACACGGUCCAGACUCCUAAGGGAGGCAGCAGUGGGGAAUAUUGGACAAUGGGCGCAAACCUGAUCCAGCCAUACCGCGUGGGUGAAGAAGGCCUUCGGGUUGUAAAGCCCUUUUGUUGGGAAAGAAAAGCAGCAGGUUAAUACCCCGCUGUUCUGACGGUACCCAAAGAAUAAGCACCGGCUAACUUCGUG
rnacentral:rRNA from 1 species